GAUGAAGAACGCAGCGAAAUGCGAUAAGUAAUGUGAAUUGCAGAGUUCAGUGAAUCAUCGAGUCUUUGAACGCACAUUGCGCCCCCUGGUAUUCCGGGGGGCAUGCCUGUCCGAGCGUCAUUGCUGCCCUCAAGCACGGCUUGUGUGUUGGGCCCCGUCCUCCGAUCCCGGGGGACGGGCCCGAAAGGCAGCGGCGGCACCGCGUCCGGUCCUCGAGCGUAUGGGGCUUUGUCACCCGCUCUGUAGGCCCGGCCGGCGCUUGCCGAUCAACCCAAAUUUUUAUCCAGGUUGACCUCGGAUCAGGUAGGGAUACCCGCUGAACUUAAGCAUAUCAAUAAGCGGAGGA
rnacentral:misc_RNA from 1 species